rnacentral:lncRNA from 1 species
GACAGCAGCCCAGCCCCAUUCAGGGACACGUGGCCCUGAUUUGAGCUCCUGUGACAUCACGCUCCCUCCACUUAUCUUACAUGUCACAUCUCAAACAUUUAACAUUUUACAUCUCAAACAUUUCUUGAGGCCCUUACCCUCCCAUUCCCCCAAAUCAAUACGGCACUUAGGGGACACCAAGGCGCAGAGACACUUGCCCCAAAUCAUGCAGUAAUGCCCUGGUGCCACCGUGAACAGUGCUGAAGCUUCCUGACCCCUUGUCCAGGGGACCUGGCUGCCUUUUAUAGAAAGUUUCCACACACCUUCUAUUCCUAACCUCGAUCACAAGCAUCGCCGGCCCAGAUGCUCUGUGUCACCGGCUUAGUAACAUACCCCAUUUAGGAGCAUGAGCACAACUUGUUUGCAGUGGGAAUGAAUUAACUGAAUUCUAGAUAUUGUUUUUUGGCUGCCUUUUUUUGUUUGUUUUUAUUUCAAACACAGCUAACUAAUCAGGGCUGUGGACACCAAGAAUGCCAACUUUGAUUCUUCAAGGAAAAUCAGCAGCUGACCACACACCACCCUUCCUGGUCCUCCCCGAGAUGCCAAGAACAUCCAAAGUCUGCAGUUUUGAGGAAACUGAAGCUGAUCUGACACCACUUCCUUUUUCUCCAGAUGUUACCCUUCGGAUGCAUACCUCAAUCUGCCUGAAAAUCAUGGAAUUCUGGAGAUGGAAGGGACCUCAGAGAUUUUCUGGUUCUCUCUGUUCUGGUUGCCCCUGCAGCUUCCUGGCCACCCUCCUCUGGCUACACUUAAUGCCUCUUUGAAAACCUGGUACCCAGAACUGAAUGGUGGACUGCGCUCAGCUUCUCCUUCCAGGUCCCGCCCUGAGGCACCCGGCUUAACCCCCAAGUCAAACGCUGCACAGAGCAGGCCUGCUGCCUGCCCACUCUGGCUACCAGGCCAAAGGCCCAGGUCUGGAAGAAUAAAAAGAUGCCACCACCCUACUACCUUGCUGCUGCUCCAUCCCCAGACAGCUGUGGGCAGCUGCAGCUGAGAAGUGAAACUAACAACAGCAUCUGGGGGAGGGGGCGGCACCCAGCUGAGCCCUUUCCAUAGGUUUCCCGUUUCUGGUUGGGGGGGGGGGCGGGGGUGUCUGGCCAAUGGAAACAGGGCAGGCCCUCAGGGAUGCCUCUUAUCAGCAACCCACUGGAAGUCUGUAACCCCCUUCAUGGUACGGUGUGCAGGGCAGGGAUGGGAGGCACAGCUAGAUGUGUGCAGCCCCAGCCUAAGCCAGGCCUGUUGGGCACCACAAUGGGCUCACCCGCCUCGGUCCAUCUGGAAAAGGUUUGAAAGCUUGAGGCAGGAAAGUUCCCUUUUGCAUUUUAAAGUGUGUUGAAACUGAGUAGCCUGGGUGUUGGUCUCAUUCCACAAGUGAGUAAUCCAUUUCCUGAAAGUAAGCUGCUCCCCCUUUGGAAGUGGCCCAGCGAUUUGGGGGUGCUGUUAGAGGUGUCACUAACUCGGUAAAUAUUUAUUGGCACAAGCAAGGAGCUUUUCUAGGAAUAUCAGUUAAUUUGCUAAACUAAUGGCUUUAAGGUAGCACCCUUGAAAAAAAUUAAUUCCUUUCUGAUGGGUGAGCAAUUUAUGCCUGGGACAGGGCACCAGACAGGCAGUGUGUUUCACUUACUAGUUAGAAUAACCACAAAUAAAUUAAAACCAGGCCUGACUUUAAAAUCUCUACCUUCUUCCUUUUCUUGACUCCUGAUUUUCUAUUAAUAUCUGAGCCAGUAAUGGAUUGACUUUGGAAAACUCUUUUCUAUGGCAAUAUUUUGCUGGGAGUUUGAAAUGAUGGGGUUUGAAAACUCCCUUUCCUGUGAGUCUUUUGGCUUCUGGGAUCCCAUACGGAUGAUCUCAUAUAUCUACCCCUCACUAAGACUGUGCCCACCUGGAUCUAUCUGGAGACGUGCCUCCUGUUCUUCUGUGUAGAGCAAUUUAGACUUUCAUCACCUGGCUUGAAAAAGCCUUUUGCCUUGAAGAAUAAAAACUUGGUUUCUUUAUGGCUCAAA